GAACCAGUUUGGCACCGGUGUUCAACCAGCUAGUGAUAAUUUUCAUCUCAGCCCUCAAGGCGAAUCGAAAAGUCUACAUAGAAAUAAUUCCUUCUCUCCAGCUCGAUUCAUGGCAACGAGGACCCAGGUCGAUAGAUCUUCAGCUGUCCCGUGUAGAGGGAAGAAUCGCGAAAAACUUGUUGCUUCGUUGAAAGGUAAGGGAAGGAGGAGAUUUCUUUCGUUGAUGAUUCCACGUUGCAAGGUGUUGUUUGAUAUUUCUCGUUUCGUACAUUCAAUUAUCACGUAACAGUAUGAGUUUAAUAGUAUCAGAAGAAACACAACAGCUUGAAUGUCGUUAUGCUGACCGACGAUGACCAUAGAGAAAAUGAAGCUACCUAAUUUCUACUGUGACAGUCGAAAUCAGUCGAAAAAAAUCAGUGUUCUUUUACAAGGAGAGUAAGGAUAUCAAGGCUAUCGAUCAUAGGGCGGAAUACCUUAACCAGUCCAGUCCCUCUCAUCGAUCACACGAACGGGAGAUAUGCAUAGAAGAUUUCGAAUAGAAAAGGACUUACCAACAGAUUGACGAUAUUCUUGAAGCAACACCGAUGCAAAGCCGACAAACAGCCGAAGAAGGAAGGGUCUUUUGAGAAAGGAAGAGGAAAUCGUCACACCGUCUGAAUGCUUCUCCUCUUAUUAUUUUCCUUCCACGACUAUUCUCUUCCGCAUCUAGACAAUUUGUAAAGAAAACAUACUGCACCGAGUAGACAAUGGGCAAUCAUCGUUCAGCUUAUUAUAUUUCAGGAUGGAACAGUGACGAGUCUUAAGCUACGUGGUGGAUUCUUUGCGACCGAAAGGAAAGGAAAUGGAAAUGGGGAAAUGGAAAGAAAGAAACGAGGGGCUGCGAAAACAACUGCGACAGAUGUGAACUCUUGGCACGCGCCCUUCUGCGCGACAGUGGUUCUCAUUCAGAUGGCAAAUCAGACAAACACACCAAUCAUAAUUUUCAUCGUCGUGUUAGGUGAAGAAAACGAGCAACUUGUUUGUCUUACGUCAACUGAUUGAGUCUACCACAUUUCGUUUUAUCUGGGGUAAAACAAGCGUCACUACAUAUGGAAUCCGUGGACCGAUUGGGAUUCGUGCCAGAAGGAACCUUUCAUUUUCUAUAAGGAGGAAUUGCGAAUUCUUCGGAAACAGGAGAGGUAGACGAUACGUGGAAGUCUGAAGUUUUCUUAGCUUUCCUGGCUUUUUUAAGUUUCACAGGUGCCUCGAAUGAUCCAGGAGGAUAAAAAUUAGUAAAAAAUUGUCUGACGUCUCGUUUCUGUCCAGAGAAUUAAGCGAAGCUACUUUAACUGCCGUUUAGUAUUCCACUGGCGAAUUUAUUCAACAUCCUCCACGUGGA